GGGUUGUGAGGUUAAGCGACUAAGCGUACACGGUGGAUGCCCUGGCAGUCAGAGGCGAUGAAGGGCGUGCUAAUCUGCGAUAAGCGCCGGUAAGGUGAUAUGAACCGUUAUAACCGGCGAUACCCGAAUGGGGAAACCCAGUGUGAUUCGUCACACUAUCAUUAACUGAAUCCAUAGGUUAAUGAGGCGAACCGGGGGAACUGAAACAUCUAAGUACCCCGAGGAAAAGAAAUCAACCGAGAUUCCCCCAGUAGCGGCGAGCGAACGGGGAGGAGCCCAGAGCCUGAAUCAGCAUGUGUGUUAGUGGAAGCGUCUGGAAAGGCGCGCGAUACAGGGUGACAGCCCCGUACACAAAAGCGCAUGUGCUGUGAGCUCGAUGAGUAGGGCGGGACACGUGGUAUCCUGUCUGAAUAUGGGGGGACCAUCCUCCAAGGCUAAAUACUCCUGACUGACCGAUAGUGAACCAGUACCGUGAGGGAAAGGCGAAAAGAACCCCGGCGAGGGGAGUGAAAAAGAACCUGAAACCGUGUACGUACAAGCAGUGGGAGCACCCUUUGGGUGUGACUGCGUACCUUUUGUAUAAUGGGUCAGCGACUUAUAUUCUGUAGCAAGGUUAACCGAAUAGGGGAGCCGGAGGGAAACCGAGUCUUAAUUGGGCGUUAAGUUGCAGGGUAUAGACCCGAAACCCGGUGAUCUAGCCAUGGGCAGGUUGAAGGUUGGGUAACACUAACUGGAGGACCGAACCGACUAAUGUUGAAAAAUUAGCGGAUGACCUGUGGCUGGGGGUGAAAGGCCAAUCAAACCGGGAGAUAGCUGGUUCUCCCCGAAAGCUAUUUAGGUAGCGCCUCGUGAAUUCAUCUCCGGGGGUAGAGCACUGUUUCGGCUAGGGGGCCAUCCCGGCUUACCAACCCGAUGCAAACUGCGAAUACCGGAGAAUGUUAUCACGGGAGACACACGGCGGGUGCUAACGUCCGUCGUGAAGAGGGAAACAACCCAGACCGCCAGCUAAGGUCCCAAAGUCAUGGUUAAGUGGGAAACGAUGUGGGAAGGCCCAGACAGCCAGGAUGUUGGCUUAGAAGCAGCCAUCAUUUAAAGAAAGCGUAAUAGCUCACUGGUCGAGUCGGCCUGCGCGGAAGAUGUAACGGGGCUAAACCAUGCACCGAAGCUGCGGCAGCGACGCUUAUGCGUUGUUGGGUAGGGGAGCGUUCUGUAAGCCUGCGAAGGUGGCCUGUGAGGGUUGCUGGAGGUAUCAGAAGUGCGAAUGCUGACAUAAGUAACGAUAAAGCGGGUGAAAAGCCCGCUCGCCGGAAGACCAAGGGUUCCUGUCCAACGUUAAUCGGGGCAGGGUGAGUCGACCCCUAAGGCGAGGCCGAAAGGCGUAGUCGAUGGGAAACGGGUUAAUAUUCCCGUACUUGGUGUUACUGCGAAGGGGGGACGGAGAAGGCUAUGUUGGCCGGGCGACGGUUGUCCCGGUUUAAGCGUGUAGGUGUGUGUUCCAGGUAAAUCCGGUUCACUUUAACACUGAGGCGUGACGACGAGGCACUACGGUGCUGAAGCAACAAAUGCCCUGCUUCCAGGAAAAGCCUCUAAGCAUCAGGUAACAUCAAAUCGUACCCCAAACCGACACAGGUGGUCAGGUAGAGAAUACCAAGGCGCUUGAGAGAACUCGGGUGAAGGAACUAGGCAAAAUGGUGCCGUAACUUCGGGAGAAGGCACGCUGACACGUAGGUGAAGUGAUUUACUCAUGGAGCUGAAGUCAGUCGAAGAUACCAGCUGGCUGCAACUGUUUAUUAAAAACACAGCACUGUGCAAACACGAAAGUGGACGUAUACGGUGUGACGCCUGCCCGGUGCCGGAAGGUUAAUUGAUGGGGUCAGCGCAAGCGAAGCUCCUGAUCGAAGCCCCGGUAAACGGCGGCCGUAACUAUAACGGUCCUAAGGUAGCGAAAUUCCUUGUCGGGUAAGUUCCGACCUGCACGAAUGGCGUAAUGAUGGCCAGGCUGUCUCCACCCGAGACUCAGUGAAAUUGAACUCGCUGUGAAGAUGCAGUGUACCCGCGGCAAGACGGAAAGACCCCGUGAACCUUUACUAUAGCUUGACACUGAACAUUGAGCCUUGAUGUGUAGGAUAGGUGGGAGGCUUUGAAGUGUGGACGCCAGUCUGCAUGGAGCCGACCUUGAAAUACCACCCUUUAAUGUUUGAUGUUCUAACGUGGACCCGUUACCCGGGUUGCGGACAGUGUCUGGUGGGUAGUUUGACUGGGGCGGUCUCCUCCUAAAGAGUAACGGAGGAGCACGAAGGUUGGCUAAUCCUGGUCGGACAUCAGGAGGUUAGUGCAAUGGCAUAAGCCAGCUUGACUGCGAGCGUGACGGCGCGAGCAGGUGCGAAAGCAGGUCAUAGUGAUCCGGUGGUUCUGAAUGGAAGGGCCAUCGCUCAACGGAUAAAAGGUACUCCGGGGAUAACAGGCUGAUACCGCCCAAGAGUUCAUAUCGACGGCGGUGUUUGGCACCUCGAUGUCGGCUCAUCACAUCCUGGGGCUGAAGUAGGUCCCAAGGGUAUGGCUGUUCGCCAUUUAAAGUGGUACGCGAGCUGGGUUUAGAACGUCGUGAGACAGUUCGGUCCCUAUCUGCCGUGGGCGCUGGAGAACUGAGGGGGGCUGCUCCUAGUACGAGAGGACCGGAGUGGACGCAUCACUGGUGUUCGGGUUGUCAUGCCAAUGGCACUGCCCGGUAGCUAAAUGCGGAAGAGAUAAGUGCUGAAAGCAUCUAAGCACGAAACUUGCCCCGAG
rnacentral:rRNA from 1 species